rfam:Pseudomonas sp. 21C1 contig00022, whole genome shotgun sequence.
GGGUUGAGCGGCAUGGAUGCCGCGAGAGCCACGCUGGGCCAUGGAUGGCCCUUCGUGGCGUACCC